AAAUAUUAAUAAUAAGGAAAGAAAAAGUUAAAAUCUGUACCUUUUGUAUUAUGGUUUAACAAGGUUAUUUGGAUAAGGUUUUAUAACCCGAAGCUGAGCGAGCUAAUAUAUUCUGCUUUAAGAGAGGGGGUUUUUACUGUUGCAAUAGUAAGGCUUGAGGAUAUAUUAGAUGUGACAUGCUUAUCGUGCUCAGGGAUAGCUGGUUUUCUUAGAAAUAAGUGUGAGCUAGGUGUGUAUAUUUAUCAUAGUAUGACUAUCUUGUAGGAUAAUAAGAUAAUUUUGAUAAAAAUAUGAUGGUAAGACAGGGAGGGCUAAGCUUCUCUGUCAAGGAAGAAAAAGCUUUAUGUUAUUAAUUAAGGGUAGUUUUAUAAAAUGUGUUAAGGUGUUGAUNNNNNNNNNNNNNNNNNNNNNNUAACUUUGUAGAGGGCGUUAAAGCUUAUUUAUUAAUAGUAAUACAAAUAAUUUUAAUAGGGGGCUCUAAAUUGUAUAAGUUUAUAGGAAAGUUUCAUUGGUUUGAAAGUUAUAAUGUUGGAAUUAGUAGAGAAUAAAUAUAUAUUUUUUGUGAAUUAAUCAAUCCUUACAUUGGAUGGAACAAUUGAGUUUACUAACGGGAAAUUAGUUUGUUUAAAUUGUCUACUAACACAAGUAAUAUGGAGUAAGUUAAUAAAAGGGAAAGGAAUUCGGCAAAUAAAGAUUUNNNNNNNNNNNNNNNNNNNNCGCUCUUUGUAAAGAAUCUAAUAUAUAAAGAGUCCUGCCUGCCCGGUGACUUAGUUAAACGGCCGCGGUAUCUUGACCGUGCAAAGGUAGCAUAAUCAUUUGCCUCUUAAAUGGGGGCUGGUAUGAAAGGCAAGACGGAAGUCAAGCUGUCUCUCUCUUAUAUUUUGAAGUUGAUAUUUUUGUGAAGAAGCAGAAAUAAGAUCGUAGGACGAGAAGACCCUAUCGAGCUUUAGUAGAAGUAAGAUACAGUCAUGUUAAUGAUAUUUUAUUGCUAAUUGGUUAUUUUUAAUAACUAGUGUAGUUUUACUAUUAGAGUAAUCAUGUUGUGUAUAUUAUAUUUAGGUUGGGGCAACCGCGGAGAAUAGUUAUCCUCCGCUAAUUUUAUUAGUAAAAAAAUGUUUUUAAAUAUAAGAUUUAUGUAUAAGUGAUCCAUUGUAAUAGAUGAGAAAAGGAAUAAGUUACCGUAGGGAUAACAGCGUAAUUUUUUUGGAGAGUUCAUAUUGAUAAAAAAGUUUGCGACCUCGAUGUUGGAUCGGGAUUUCCUGGGGAUGCAGCAGUUCCUAAUGGUUGGUCUGUUCGACCAUUAAAAUCCU
rnacentral:rRNA from 1 species